UGGCACCUUUCAUUGUCUUGUUCUCUGUUCUUGUGAGAUCAGUGAUAUUUCUAAUGUGCCAGAGUAAAACUGGAGGUUAAUUAGCAGAUGGUCUAACCACUUAACCAUAGCUGCCAGUCCCCUCCAUACAUUU